rnacentral:lncRNA from 1 species
AUGAUUUCAGUUAGCAGGAAACAGCAGAAGGCGAAGCAUCAAGCCAAGAACAGAACACUAGAUCUGGAAGAACAACAGAUAAACAGAAAGCCAGAGAAGGAGGCGAGACACUGUUUAUCUGUUAUGAACUGUUGUGCAAACCAAGAUAUGUCUUUGUACGCAUCCUUGUCGUGUUAUACAGAAGUCUGUACACUGGAUGAGGACAGCAGCAAGAGGAGAUGGAGGCGACUUUGAUGAGUAGCAUUGGAGUAAGUAAUCCUAGCCAACCCAAACAUACUCACAGCGAGCGAUCGAUCGCAUUUACAACACACCCAGCACAGCGAGACAAACACUGGUGCCAGUACGAACAGCAGCAGCUGCUCAUUGUUCAUUAAGAGAGAGAUCAAUGUGAAAGGUCAAAUGGAGGUCAGUGUCAGAAAGGCGUUGGUGUGGGGCAAAUGUCGGACCCUUAGAAACUCUGAACAGACUACAGGCACGCUUGGAAGGUUCGGGGGUCGAUCGAUUCAUUUCUCACCAUCUUAGUCUUUAUGGACACUUCUGUAACAUAAACGUGGAGCUGGCUCCUAAAAAUACAUUUUUGAGGCUGUCUUGCCAUUACAGCAGCCACCUACAGCUUUUCUGGUGGGGUGGGGGGGGGCAAAAACAGCUAGGUGCGAAUCAAAAACAUAGAAUUAGUUUUCUUCGCCUCCUAGUGAUGAAGUUAUUAAUGUUUUUGCCACACACUCUAAGGUGGAACGCAGUAGUAAAAACGUUUCGGAUAGGAUUUGUUUCAAACAACUUUUAAGUACAAUUAUUAACAGAGGAUGGCUGUGAUGUAGUGUACUAAUGAGAAGUAUUGGGAUCUUGUAGUUUUUCUUUUGGGUUUUUUGUUUGUUUUUUUGUUUUGGGUUUUUUGUUGUUUGUUGGGGGGGAAGUCGUGGCCUAAUGGUUAGAGAGUUUGACUCCUAAUCUUAAGGUUGUGGGUUCGAGUCUUGGGCCAGCAAUACCAUGAAUGAGUUGCCCUUGAGUAAAGCACUGAAUUUAAAUUUUAGU